CCCUACGGGGGGCAGCAGUGGGGAAUAUUGCACAAUGGGGGGAACCCUGAUGCAGCAAUGCCGCGUGGGUGAAGAAGCACUCCGGUGCGUAAAGCCCUGUCAGCAGGGAAGAAAAUGACAGUACCUGGACAAGAAGCCCCGGCUAACUACGUGCCAGCAGCCGCGGUAAUACGUAGGGGGCAAGCGUUAUCCGGAUUUACUGGGUGUAAAGGGAGCGUAGGCGGCUGUACAAGUCUGAAGUGAAAGCCCGUGGCUCAACCGCGGAACUGCUUUGGAAACUGUAAAGCUGGAGUACUGGAGAGGCG
rnacentral:rRNA from 1 species